AACCUGAGAAUUUGAUGAUAGA
rnacentral:siRNA from 1 species